rnacentral:rRNA from 1 species
AACGAACGCUGGCGGCAUGCCUAACACAUGCAAGUCGAACGAGACCUUCGGGUCUAGUGGCGCACGGGUGCGUAACGCGUGGGAACCUGCCCUUAGGUUCGGAAUAACUCCCCGAAAGGGGUGCUAAUACCGGAUAAUGUCUUCGGACCAAAGAUUUAUCGCCUUUGGAUGGGCCCGCGUUGGAUUAGCUAGUUGGUAGGGUAAAAGCCUACCAAGGCGACGAUCCAUAGCUGGUCUGAGAGGAUGAUCAGCCACACUGGGACUGAGACACGGCCCAGACUCCUACGGGAGGCAGCAGUGGGGAAUAUUGGACAAUGGGCGAAAGCCUGACGCAGCAAUGCCGCGUGAGUGAUGAAGGCCUUAGGAUUGUAAAGCUCUUUUACCCGGGAUGAUAAUGACAGUACCGGGAGAAUAAGCCCCGGCUAACUCCGUG